GACGAACCGUGCGAACGUUGUUCGGAAUCACUGGGCUUAAAGGGCACGUAGGCGGGUCGGCCAGUCUGUGGUGAAAUCCCCCGGCUUAACCGGGGAACGGCCGCGGAUACUGCCGACCUCGAGGGGGGUAGGGGCGUGCGGAACACUAGGUGGAGCGGUGAAAUGCGUUGAUAUCUAGUGGAACUCCGGUGGCGAAAGCGGCGCGCUGGACCCCUUCUGACGCUGAGGCGCGAAAGCCAGGGGAGCGAACGGG
rnacentral:rRNA from 1 species